rnacentral:lncRNA from 1 species
UGGUGGACAUGAUAAAUAUUGAAAUGUAAUGUUUAGUACAGUAAUGUAAUGAAUAGUAUUAAUCAGUUAUGUAAUGUAAUGGUGUUAUUGAGGAUAGAAUUGUGCUUGACCCUAGUAUGUUGUUAAUCCCUUUGAGUACAUGAUUUUAAUGAUGCUUAUGUAAACCAAACUUAAUACAUGUUAUGUCACCCCAUUGGAGCAUUGAUGAGGACUCCAAGGAGGGGUUAAUGUUUAUGAUUAUGUUUUUGGAUAGUGCAUGCACAGGUUGAGUUUGG